GACGAACGCUGGCGGCGUGCUUAACACAUGCAAGUCGAACGGAAAGGCCCGGCGUUUGUGGGGUGCUCGAGUGGCGAACGGGUGAGUAACACGUGAGGAACCUGCCCUUGACUUUGGGAUAACUUCAGGAAACUGGGGCUAAUACCGGAUAUGAGCUCCUGCUGCAUGUUGGGGGUUGGAAAGUUUCGGCGGUUGGGGAUGGACUCGCGGCUUAUCAGCUUGUUGGGGGGGUAGUGGCUUACCAAGGCUUUGACGGGUAGCCGGCCUGAGAGGGUGACCGGCCACAUUGGGACUGCGAUACGGCCCAGACUCCUACGGGCGGCAGCAGUGGGGAAUAUUGCACAAUGGGCGGAAGCCUGAUGCAGCAACGCCGCGUGCGGGAUGACGGCCUUCGGGUUGUAAACCGCUUUCGCCUGUGCCGAAGCGUGCGUGACGGUAAUGGGUAAAGAAGCACCGGCUAACUACGUG
rnacentral:rRNA from 1 species